UGGGGAAUCUUCCGCAAUGGACGAAAGUCUGACGGAGCAACGCCGCGUGAGUGAAGACGGCCUUCGGGUUGUAAAGCUCUGUGAUCCGGGACGAAAGAGCCUGAGGUGAAUAGCCUAAGGAAGUGACGGUACCGGAAAAGCAAGCCACGGCUAACUACGUGCCAGCAGCCGCGGUAAUACGUAGGUGGCAAGCGUUGUCCGGAAUUAUUGGGCGUAAAGCGCGCGCAGGCGGCUUCCUAAGUCCAUCUUAAAAGUGCGGGGCUUAACCCCGUGAUGGGAUAGAAACUGGGAAGCUGGAGUAUCGGAGAGGAAAGUGGAAUUCCUAGUGUAGCGGUGAAAUGCGUAGAGAUUAGGAAGAACACCGGUGGCGAAGGCGACUUUCUGGACGAAAACUGACGCUGAGGCGCGAAAGCGUGGGGAGCAAACAGG
rnacentral:rRNA from 1 species